GAUGAAGAACGCAGCGAAAUGCGAUAAGUAGUGUGAAUUGCAGAAUUCAGUGAAUCAUCGAAUCUUUGAACGCACAUUGCGCCCCUUGGUAUUCCAUGGGGCAUGCCUGUUCGAGCGUCAUUUGUACCUUCAAGCUCUGCUUGGUGUUGGGUGUUUGUCUCGCCUCUGCGUGUAGACUCGCCUCAAAACAAUUGGCAGCCGGCGUAUUGAUUUCGGAGCGCAGUACAUCUCGCGCUUUGCACUCAUAACGACGACGAUCCAAAAGUACAUUUUUACACUCUUGACCUCGGAUCAGGUAGGGAUACCCGCUGAACUUAAGCAUAUCAAUAAGCGGAGGAA
rnacentral:rRNA from 1 species